AGGGGACUGUCCCUGCUUUUAUGGGACUGAUCCUGGCUCUGCACCCCCCCAGAGAGCUGUGAUGAGCUGCAUGUCCUGAACACCACAUCAGCUCUGGCAAAUGCCAGUCCCUAGACUGGGACUGGAGAGGGUCCCUCUCUCCUGGGCAUCAAUUUGGCUCCUCUCACAUGGCAGCUCCUCAUUUGCACGGGCAGUGGCCGGGAGCUCGGCUCCAAGGGCAAGGACACGGGGACAGCACUGACCUGUCUUCACCGCCUUCCCUAGGCAUACAAAGGGGAAGUGUGGAGCUGGUGCUGAGAAGAAGUGAUGGGAGCAGCUGGGCAGCAUCGCUGACACCACAGAGAGCACCCCAGCACAGAGCUACUCAUACUGAUGAUGGCUCAUGGAUACAGCACUCGCCCAUUGCCACCCUCAGGCAGUACCUCAGAAGGACACGCAGGUGGGGACCCCCUACAGCACAUUCCUGCCGCUCUCACUGUCCCCUGCUGCACAGAGCUGGGGCCAGUUGCUAUCUGAGCUCGUGUGACAAUGCUGCCAAGGCUCCCGGUGGGGAUCCAGCUCUCAGUUAGUCUCUGCUCUGAAAGCCUCUGUGAAAUCACUGCGACGUUAGGCACUUCCUAAUAAAGCUGUCACAGACACCCCCAUUAUCUCCUGGCUCAGCCCCCUGC